CAGACCUCGUAGCGAACCAGAUUGCUAAAGCCAAGAAACCUUUCACGAUUGCAGAAGAACUUAUUAUGCCUGCGACCAAGGAUAUCUGGUAUCAAGUUUUAGGAGAAGCCGCUGUUAAAAAAUGUUGAUUCAGAAGCGUAUGCACUCUACCUACUUCAUGUGGGUCAAGACUGAAAAUCUCUUCAAGCCGAAAAUAGCCGCAGGUGUAAUCACCUCCGAAUUCAUUAAGCACAGCUGGAGAGGUGCGGCACAUCCAAGUGAGCCGCUCACACCGCUUUAAAUUCCCCCUGAGGAGACGCAAACCCGCAAGCACUGUUUCAAAGGAGACCGACGGGGCGGAUAAGUCCAACUCAGGGACUCGGGCGAUGAGCAAUGUGGAAAUGCUUAAGUCAUCGCCGUUGAGCUGAAAGUCAACACACAGGGCAUGAUGCGACUACAGCGACAAGCAACACGCACCGCCUUCUGCCUAAAUCAUGUCGACAGGGAUCAAAGUAUGUGCUGGUUGCACACUGCUAAAAUGAAACGCUCCUCCAUGUUGACAAAGUCUGGUGUGUGAAUGUCAAUUUCCAGGUUGGCCAGAGUGCUUGCAGGUGAGGAAGAAUCUGACUGACUGAGUCCGACAUCUGAAAUUCUGAAACAGAUGGUGGAAGUGCUCAAACCAAUGCUUGUUGCAACAAAGGUCAUAUACCAAGAAAAAAGACCUAUCAUUGCCCCACUCCAAGCUCAACUGCUGACUGACACCUACAGUACUGUCGAAAAUUUUUAAAGAUUUAACAUUUUUCAAGACGUUAAGGGUGCCAUUCAUCAUGAUCUCUCCAAGAGAUAUCGGUGGUUGUGGUUUGUUCCCUUUAUAUGUGCAGCUACAAAAAGUAUUUUACAGCAAUCUUGCACAAAA